CCCGCUGAACUUAAGCAUAUUAUUAAGCGGAGGAAAAGAAACUAACAAGGAUUCCCCUAGUAACGGCGAGUGAAGCGGGAAGAGCUCAACCUGGAAAUCGGUGCGCCUAGCGGCGUUUCGAAUUGUGGGCUGUAGACACGACGCCAGCUCGUGACCCGGGUAGAAAUCUUUUGAAACAAGGUAUCAUAGAGGGUGAGAAUCCCGUCUGUGACUCGGAGAUCGCGGCGUACGGUUCGUGUUCGUAGAGUCGGAUUGCUUGGGAGUGCAGUCUUAAAAGGGUGGUAAAUUUCAUCUAAAGCUAAAUAUGUACGGGAGACCGAUAGCGAACAAGUACCGCGAGGGAAAGAUGAAAAGAACUUUGAAAAGAGAGUUAAAAAGUACUUGAAAUUGCUAAGAGGGAAGGACUGGAAACCAGUCGUGCUGUCCGUCAUUUGCCUGACCGGAUGCUGGUUCGAAGUGUUUGCGGCGACCUCAAAAGCGCUCGUGGGUGCUUGUGAAUUGGUGGCGGUUGGAUGCUAUGGCGGAUGGUGAGUCAGCGUCAACUAUCGGGUCCUGCGGGAGGACGCCUUCGGAAGGUCAAUCAACGUUCGCGUGGGAUUGCUUACAGCCGGGGGAAUCGCUCGAACCGUGGGAGUGGUUGAGGAGCGUGGACAUCCACGCACCAGCGCGCCAGCAGUGCUUGCGUCCUCUGCUCCUGCGGUGUCGUGUGGCGUCGAAGGACAAAAUUCCUUGGGCGUUGUGCGGCGCCGUACUGGGUGGAAGGAGCGACAUGCGUGCUCGGGAUGCUGACAAAAUGGUUUUCAAUCACCCGUCUUGAAACACGG
rnacentral:rRNA from 1 species